CUACGGGAGGCAGCAGUGAGGAAUAUUGCGCAAUGGCCGAAAGGCUGACGCAGCGACGCCGCGUGGAGGAUGACGCCCUUCGGGGUGUAAACUCCUGUUGCCCGGGACGAAUACCUGUUUCGACAGGGGUGACGGUACCGGGUGAGGAAGCACCGGCUAACUCUGUGCCAGCAGCCGCGGUAAUACAGAGGGUGCGAGCGUUGUCCGGAAUCACUGGGCGUAAAGGGCGCGUAGGUGGCGCGGUAAGCGUGUGGUGAAAGUCCGGGGCUCAACCCCGGAUCGGCCAUGCGAACUGCCGCGCUGGAGCACGGUAGAGGCACAUGGAAUUCCGGGUGUAGCGGUGGAAUGCGUAGAGAUCCGGAAGAACACCGGUGGCGAAGGCGGUGUGCUGGGCCGUUGCUGACACUGAGGCGCGACAGCGUGGGGAGCGAACGGGAUUAGAAACCCCAGUAGUCC
rnacentral:rRNA from 1 species